UGAAAUUUAUGUAAGAUUUUUUUUGUUUCCAAUAUAUAUACAUCACAUGCAACACCUUAUUGUGAUAAAUUAGAGAAAUCAAUUCACCUCUGAGUAAAUAAAAAGCGUCGACAAAUAUUAAUAAUUAAGUGGUCUAAAAUUAUUUUCGAUAGAAAAAAACAAAAUGCAUUUUUGUAUAUAUACUAAGAAUACAACAAGUUCGGAAACAAAAGUGAUUCAUGUCUACAAAUCUAUGUAUGAUCAUACUUCGAAAACAAUUACGCUAAUUAUAUAUAUGCUUCCAUGAUUCCAUGUUUCGUUAUUUCUGUUUUUAUCUGCAAAUUAAAUCAGGUUUCUGUUAUUAUGUACCAAAAAACGAACUAUGCUUAUUGAAAUAUUAGACCCAACAUGAAUUAGACUUGAAAAAUGACAAGAUAAUGAUGUAUACGACUAUACGAAAACUAAGAUUAAGAACCAUAAAUUAAUAAGACUAUCAUUAUUGGUGGUCUCUUAUCUACUUUUUAGCUUAAGAAUGGGUAAGAUAGGUCUUUUACUAAAGCUUACUAAAGUGUCAAUAAUAAGUUCAUUUCUCAAAUACUUCAACGUAAACCAACUCCGGUUUAAGAUAAGAACCAUCAAGGGCAGUUUCGAAAUAAAUUAACAAAACCAUGUCCACGUAAUGAAGUGAGUCACAACGUCAAGAUUCUCUCUACUUGCUUCCUUCUAUAAAUUGCCUCUGCUCCAUAAAGAGUAUCGUCACUCCAAUCUCUUAACCUGUGGCUCUAUCUGUAAAUAUAUCCCAUAAUAUUUUAGCCUUUUCAAGAAACCAAUUAGCCUUUUUAAAAGAUUUACUUAGUAGGAAAAAUAAAUUACAAAGAGAAGAGAGAAGUGAUCAGGUGCAGUGAGGUGUAGGAUAUGAAAUUCUUGUUAGAGCUCGUCGUGCCUUGUUUUGGUUCACAACAGUUCAACCAAUCCACC
rnacentral:lncRNA from 1 species